UCCGUCCGUCCGUCUGUCCGUCCGCUCUCCCUCAACUGACGUUGUGGGGUGAAUUGAACGUACGGAUAACACUUGCGGGGUUUUUGGUUGCUUACGGGGUGCACCCCAUAUGCAACCCAUUGCAAACGUGUCCAUGGUUCCUAAAACCCCGGAAAAAAUGCCUUCCAGUUUUGCACCCCACAAACAGCGGACACUACUGGCCGUCCGUUUUCUAUGGACGAUAUCAUAAAUAUUACAGAUUACAUUGAUGAAAAUCUAUAAUUAGAUAUGAGACGUGCGCAUUCGCACUAGCAGUAAAGGUGAGCGCGCGCACCCAAGUACAAUUCACUUCCGUUGGUAGUAACGCGUAAUGGCGGACUUACAGGGAAAUUGAGGUAAUUAUUUUUCUUUUUACGCUUUGUGUAUUCAGUAAAUUUCUCGAUUUUUUUCGGGAAUGGAAAUUAUGAAGUACCAAUACCAUCAAGAACCUUAAGAGCUUUUGAAGAAGAAAAGGCUGAAUUCCACCUAAGAGACGUUCUUGUGUGAUAUAGACUGGGCACUGGCCUAUUGGUCACCAGCAUAUACCAAGUAUAAUACCUGAAGGUUCUAAGACUGGGGUGAAGUUUAAUACCAAUUGAGCUGUAAGGAAAGAGGUUGGAAUCAAAGUCCUUGUCUGUUGGCAACUACAGAUAUAGCAGAACCAGAUUAAACACAGGAAAUGGCUGCUCAAGAUAGCAUUUAACCAAAUGAGCUGAUUUAAUUGCUCAUGGAGUCAGAACACAUGGCUCAAAUGGAACAAGAGGAACAUACCCUGUAGAUGAAAACAUCGCGAGAAUUCAUCAAAAACAAGACAAAAAUGGAGUCAGAAUGAGGAUGAGGAAAUAAGAAAAAUAUUUCAUAAAUGUUUCCUUACAAGAAAAUGUCCAACAGCUCAUCAUUGUCUUAAAGCUAUAAAUUUAAGCAGGAAGAACAACUGUUGCAUUUGUAAACGUAAGAAGGAUGUCCUUAAAAAAGAAGUCAUAUUGAAGGAUUGACAGCUUAAGUGAUUAACAUUUAUGUAGUAGACAGCGACUGGGAAACCCAUGAGACAUGAACCAUAGUCACAUAAAAAUAAAAAAAAAUGUCACAUAAGUUUUAAGUGCUGAUGAGCCCUGUGUCACAUGGCUAAACUGUAUUGAAUGCAAAAGAAUGAAACUAUUUAAUAGUGCAAAUUUUAUGUAAAGGAAUGUAACCAAAUUCAGUGUUUAAAGACAUGUGUUAACAUCUAUAGUAUUUUAUUCUAGACUUUGAUUUUUGUCAGUUUUCAAUAUUUGUCCCCAAGUAAGAGGAAAUUGUUGCUAGUAAAAAGGCAAAAAAGAAACCUUUAAGUUUAAGUUUUACAAAUAUCAACAAUAAUGAGGAAUUGACUUGCGAUGAAAAUAACAACACCCGUUUUUAAACAUAUUUAAAAUAAUUGUUCAUAGAAGUAACGGUACACUUAGGCUGCUUCUUCUUCCAAAGUAUUAAAUGUUGACAAUGUUUACUUUUAUCACAUACAGGCACAUUGCUGUAAAUUUUUUUAAAGAAUGUUAUCCAGGGUAUGAUUAGACCAUUGUUCGGAAGACUUACAUUUAUUAUCAGUGGUAUAAAGGAGUACUGUUCAGUUCUACCAGGAAAGUAGAGUAAAAUAAAUGCUUUGAAUAUUAUUGACAUUAAAGCUGUUGAGCUGUUACAGUUUUAGUUGCUAUACUUUUAUUUAAUUAAGAGCUUAUUUAAUAUGAAAUGUAUACAUACUACAGUGCAAAUUCCUAGCACACAAAUCGCAGAUGUCCCACAGAAAUUUCUGAAUGUCACAAAAUUUUUAAAUGUCACUUAACAAAUUGUGUAUGAUGGGCCUUCGUCCCAUGAACAAAAAUUCGUUCCCUGUCACUGAGUAGAAUGAAUAUCAUCCAAACUUUUUGCCAGUUCGGAAAUAAAUAUAACUGAUUUUAGUCAACACUUUAAUUCUUUUGAGGAAAAGCUAGUGUUGUAUGAUGUUUAAUCAGCUCUAUUUAGUAUAGACUCAAAUAGUAAACCUUAAAAGUGGUGUACCCUGAAGUUCUUAACUAUAUUAUUAUUUCUCAUAUUGGACCAGACAUUGAGCAGAUUAUUCCUUUGUCAUAGAAAUGAGCACACGGUGUACUGAAUUUUUUACUAGGCUAUAUUAGAAAAAUUUGUCCUGAUGAAAGAUGCUACGAGUUUUAGUGUACAGCACUUUUAGAUAUAGUCACUGUAGUGAUAUGUGUUUGACGUACAUCUGCUUUAAUUGAAUGUAAACCCAUGUACAAGGCAGGUUUCUUGUUAGUGGGUUACAAGUUGUUUUACCUUUUUUGUGGGUAACAAGUUUUACCUUGUUUUAUGCUAUUUUUAGCUCGACUAUUCAAAGAAUAGGUAGUGCUAUUGCACUCACUCAUGCGUCGGCGUCGCGUCCCGACCAGGUUAAGUUUUUGUAUGUAAGCUGAUAUCUCAGUAACCACAUAUCGGAAUGGAUUAAAACUUCACACACUUGUUCACUGUGAUAAACUGACCCACAUUGCAGAGGUUCCAUAAAUCUGAUUGCUUAUUUACAAAAUUAUGCCCCUUUCUUGACUUAGAAAUUUUUAGUUAGGUUUUUGUGUGUAAGCUGAUAUCUCAAUAACCACUAAAGGGAAUGGAUUGAAACUUCACAUACUUGUUUCCUGUGAUAAACUGACCUAAAUUGCACAGGCUCCAUAAGUCUGAUUGCAUAUUUACAAAACUAUGCCUCUUUUUCGACUUAGAAAUUUUAGGUUAAAGUUCUAUAUGUAAGCUGGUAUCUCAACAACCACAAGUGGGAAUUGAUUGAAACUUCACGUAC
rnacentral:lncRNA from 1 species